AUAAAACACCUUUACUAUGGUGAUAGACAACUCUGAUAUUUUCUAUGGCGCUGAAUUUCAAUUUUUAAAAUUCUGGUUGUGGCCUCCUAAAUUGAUUUCACAAUUUUGUUUGCAACCUGCAGUUUGGAAAACCCUGCACUGAGUGCCCUAGAGGUUUGCUUUGAUGCUGUCCUUACUUGGAGGCCUGUUACCAGACUUCCCCCCAGCUCUGGUUGCCUUCAAGUGAGGUUGGAUGGGUUGACAUCAUUUAUGCUGAAUUCUUCUCUGGGACAAGGAUCUGGUGUAUUGGCAGUUAUGUUCUUUGUCAAUGUGGGGGCUCAGGAUAAGAUACAUCCAAAAUCUAUAUGUAUACGUUUUAUAUAAAGCUUUUAAAAAAAAAAGGCACUUGAGAACAAUCUUGAUCAGCUUACUUCCUUGCCUUUUGCUCCAUGACAAGCCCGAAAAUCAUCUUAUUACCAUAAAAAGAUCCACCAAGUUCCACUUCAGAUAAUUGCACUAUUUAUAUACUAUGUAGCACAGUACGUCUGUAAAUGAAUUUAAUUGCGUAGUCCAAUUUGAAAGACAUAAUUCUAGAAAUCACUUUUCUGUAUUGACCAGGCAUUCAGAGAAGAGGAUAAGAAGGGCCUAACCAUUUCUUUGUGUUGAUGACAGAUAAAUGGUGUUAGAAGAUCAAACCUCUAAUCUUAAAACUGAUUAUGAGAGUGCAGUCAUGAUUUGCAAAAGCUGAAGACUUUUUAUUACAGAUUGUAACCUUAGAAAUUCAUUAUUGCAAACAACACUAAAAUUCAAAAUAAUUCUUGAAAAUUCCAUUUGCAUUACAAUCUAGCCAUGUGACCUUGGGCAAGUUACAGAGUUCUAAUGUAUAAAAUGGAGGUAAUAAUAGUACCUACCUCAGUAUUUUUAUGGGGAUUAAAUGAGUUAAUAUACUGAAAACCACCCAGAACAAUAUCUAGCACACAGUAAAUGCUUCUAUGAGUAGUGUUUGUUCGUAUUAACAUGAAAGCAGCAAAAAAAUGUUUGCAUUUUCCUGUUCAUUGAAAGAGGAUGAUACUGUUCAAACUGGGUGGAAAUAUUUGGUAAAUGAGAUGGUCUUUGUGAAAAUCCUUUUUUAAAAAUUUGAUAACCUUGAUUUAAUUAGGUAACUUAAAAUUAGAAUAAUAUUGGAAAGAAAUUGCAGUUGAGCAAAAUAUUACAAAAAUCAAGAGGUUCUUCUAUGGGCAUUCAUAGGAGGCAUUGCAGUUUGGAGAAGUGAGUAGGGAAACAUCAAUUCUGAGAUUAUUAUGAAUUUCCAUGUGAUACACACAUAAAAGACCUGUAGUAACAUCUGGCACAUAGUACAUGCUCAAUAAAUGCUAUCUGUUAUUUUUACUAUGAUUUCAUUAUUGAUAAAAUCAAGAUCAUUUAUAUUCUGGGUUUCAGAUUGGUUAGAUAGGAAAUGCUGUCAAGUCACUUGUCCAGAUAGUAGAUAUUUUCUUUUCUUUUUGUGGCUCAAUUGAGACAAAGACCAGCUUCUACAAUUACCAGAUCUAUAUACCCUCAGUGUCCUAGGAUAAAAAUAGAAAAGCAAAGUGAAGAAAGACAGAGAAUGUUUUUGCUGGAGAAAGUGACCAAUGAAGUAACAUCUUUGAAAAGGUUAUUCUUGAAGGAUAAGCCCUUAGCAAGCAAAGAUCAUGCUUAGGGUGUGGGAUUGGGUGGCAAUCCCAUCAGAAAUACAGUUAUUUGAACAUGUUAGUUGAAGGAAAGGAAAUCUUUAGCGUAUAUUGAAGCUUCCUGCCAAUCAUUGCUACCUCUUUUCUUUCCCAAAAUCUGCUAUAUUAAUACAGAUCAUAUAUAGCAAGUUUCCACUCUUGAAAUUUACCUGUUCUAUGUGUUUUAUCUUCUUUAAAGUGUCAAGUAACUACUUCAUUAAAUACUCAUCCUUUUUUUUUUUUUUUUCGGAAUUCUGGGCCUUAUUGCUCUAUGUUUUAAUUGGAACAUUCUUGAUGCAAGGCCCAAAUAUUGACCCAUUAGUUCACCUCCACUGAAGACAUUACAAUGUAUGAAGUUUACUGGAAAAGAACGUUUUUGUACUUUAUUUGCUCUUAUGAAUGUAAAUGUGUAUGUUUUCCUUUUUCUUGAUAUAGAAAUUGUUUUUGUUUAAAUAACUAAUUAUUCCUUUGAUUAGACACUCAAGAAUAUAGCACUUCACUGUUAGUAUAGUUUAAUAAAUGUAUUCACUUUCCCAUAUAUAACAUGACUAUUUACAACAUUAUUACUGUAUUUCCUUGGACUUAUGUGAUAACUUUCUACUCUAAAAGUUUAUUUUGCUAUGGAAAUUAUCAUGGAUACUAUGCAAAAUUAUUAUUUUUCUAGUUGAUAUUAUUCUUUUCUUAGAAGCACAGAUAGACAAGACUUUUAAGAUGUAAUUCUGUCCUAGAAAAAUAGCUUAUUUUGCCACCUUUAGUUUUGAGAUAGCACUUCUUAAUGAACUAAACUUUUGUCUUAAUUUUCCACUACAAAUUAUCUAUCAUAUUAAAAGUAUUUAAAAUUC
rnacentral:lncRNA from 1 species